rnacentral:lncRNA from 1 species
AAACAGAUUAACCGCAAAUGCCUGGAGGCCACUGAAAGGCGCCUUGCAGAAGAUGAAGCGCCCUUUCAUACCUGACAGUAUCCCAGAUGGGGCUUAGCAUGGCUUUACGAAGGAAGCUGCCAGAAUAAAUACACACACCGUUCCGACAGGAUCCCGUUCCACUCGUGGGUCUCCCGCAGCAGCCUACAGUUGGCCCCUCACAAUGCUGGCUUUUUCCCAGCUAGU